UACAGAGGGGGCAAGCGUUGUUCGGAAUUACUGGGCGUAAAGGGCGCGUAGGCGGCCUGCUAAGUCGAACGUGAAAUCCCUGGGCUCAACCCAGGAACUGCGUUCGAUACUGGUUGGCUUGAAUCCGGGAGAGGGAUGUGGAAUUCCAGGUGUAGCGGUGAAAUGCGCAGAUAUCGGGAAGAACACCCGUGGCGAAGGCGGCAUCCUGGACCAUGACUGACGCUGAGGAGCGAAAGCCAGGGGAGCAAACGGG
rnacentral:rRNA from 1 species